rnacentral:rRNA from 2 species
AAAUUUGAAAUCUGGCGCAAGCCCGAGUUGUAAUUUGUAGAGGAUGCUUCUGGCCAGCGGCCGUUCUAAGUUCCUUGGAACAGGACGUCAUAGAGGGUGAGAAUCCCGUAUGUGACCGGCGCGCAGCCUUUACGUAGCUCCUUCGACGAGUCGAGUUGUUUGGGAAUGCAGCUCUAAAUGGGAGGUAAAUUUCUUCUAAAGCUAAAUACCGGCCAGAGACCGAUAGCGCACAAGUAGAGUGAUCGAAAGAUGAAAAGCACUUUGGAAAGAGAGUUAAAAAGCACGUGAAAUUGUUGAAAGGGAAGCGCUUGCAACCAGACUUCGUAGCGAUGUUCCGCUGGUCUUUUGACCGGUCUACUCAUCGUCGCGAGGCCAACAUCGUCUGGGCCCGCUGGAUAAGACCUAAGGAAUGUAGCUUCCCUCGGGAAGUGUUAUAGCCUGUGGUGAUGCAGCGCGGCUCGGGCGAGGUCCGCGCUUCGGCAAGGAUGUUGGCGUAAUGGUUGUCAGCGGCCCGUCUUGAAACACGGACCAAGGAGUCUAACAUCUAUGCGAGUGUUCGGGUGUCAAACCCCUACGCGUAAUGAAAGUGAACGGAGGUGGGAAGCGCAAGCUGCACCAUCGACCGAUCCUGAUGUCCUCGGAUGGAUUUGAGUAAGAGCAUAGCUGUUGGGACCCGAAAGAUGGUGAACUAUGCCUGAAUAGGGUGAAGCCAGAGGAAACUCUGG